AGGAUCAUUAAUCCAUCUAACAGCGUGGCUGCGGCCUCCGGGGUCAAACCUGGGCGGUUCGCGCUACCUGGUCUACAUCCUUUUUUUACGAGCACCUUUCGUUCUCCUUCGGCGGCUUACCCCGCCGUUGGAAUCAAACAAAACCUUUUUUGCAUCUAGCAUUACCUGUUCUGAUACAAACAAUCGUUACAACUUUCAACAAUGGAUCUCUUGGCUCUGGCAUCGAUGAAGAACGCAGCGAAAUGCGAUAAGUAGUGUGAAUUGCAGAAUUCAGUGAAUCAUCGAAUCUUUGAACGCACAUUGCGCCCCUUGGUAUUCCAUGGGGCAUGCCUGUUCGAGCGUCAUCUACACCCUCAAGCUCUGCUUGGUGUUGGGCGUCUGUCCCGCCUCUGCGCGUGGACUCGCCCCAAAUUCAUUGGCAGCGGUCUUGCCUCCUCUCGCGCAGCACAAUUGCGUUUCUUGAGGUGGGUGGCCCGCGUCCACGAAGCAACAUAACCGUCUUUGACCUCGGAUCAGGUAGGGAUACCCGCUGAACUUAA
rnacentral:rRNA from 1 species